GGAAAACCCUGAGGAACUCAGAGUGGAGUUCGAACGAUGUUCUCCACUUUUGGAAGUUAAGUUUCGUCCAAAUCAUCCUCCUCCUGUAAGGGAACCGCAGAAUCCGCUCAGUGAUUCUAAGCGUUUUUCUUCGACAAGGUUUUAAAACAUGCAAAAGCGGCCUAUGAUUGAGCUAACAAUAUGUGAUAGAUUCUCGAUUUUGUGAGAGAGAUCCUUCCACUUACAUUCUCAGUAUUGAAUAAUAAUUCCUUCUUUCUAUAUUCUCAAUACUGAAUACUCUAUGCUUUUCCAUUUGUUGGCAGAUUACUUUCCAUAUUGCGAACGAUUGUGAAGAUUGAAAGCACAAAUUUCAACUGUUCAAGUAGCGUCAAAUGUCUCUCUCUUUUUUAAAUCGGAUGCAGAAUCCUAGUGCUAAUCUGUUUGCGUUAGUUUGCUAAAGAAACAAUCCAGAACCUAAGGAUAGCCAAGAGUUAGCGAUGUUAGUGAUACACAAGACAGCAAAGAAUAAGGUGCUAUCAGAUAAUUGAUAAUUAAAUUUCUAGUGUUAGAAAUGGUAAUUUUGAAAUAACAGAAUUUUUUUAGCAAGAUAUAAAUAUUGUAAAGUAGCUACAAGUAGAAUCAAAUAAAACUGAUCACUUGUUAAUCUUUGUAAUUAGUGCUAAAGUACAAGUGAACCAUAAGCAACUAAGCUGCAAUUAAAAGUGGUGUUUGUGGAUUUUCUAGCAACUGUUAUUAAAGUAAUUAGUUCUGA